GAAAGCGUAGCUCAGAUGGUAGAGCACUCGCUCAUUAUGCGAGAAGUUCGGGGAUCGAUACUCCGCUCCUCCA